rnacentral:tRNA from 1 species
GGAGAGGUGGCUGAGUGGCCGAAAGCGGCGGUUUGCUAAACCGUUGUACGGGUAAAACCGUACCGGGGGUUCGAAUCCCCCUCUCUCCGCCA